rnacentral:rRNA from 1 species
GACGAACGCUGGCGGCGUGCUUAACACAUGCAAGUCGAGCGGUAAGGCCCUUUCGGGGGUACACGAGCGGCGAACGGGUGAGUAACACGUGGGUGACCUGCCCUUAGCUCUGGGAUAAGCCUGGGAAACUGGGUCUAAUACCGGAUAUGACUCCAUGACGCAUGUUGUGGGGUGGAAAGCCUUGUGCGGCUAGGGAUGGGCCCGCGGCCUAUCAGCUUGUUGGUGGGGUGAUGGCCUACCAAGGCGACGACGGGUAGCCGGCCUGAGAGGGCGACCGGCCACACUGGGACUGAGUCACGGCCCAGACUCCUACGGGAGGCAGCAGUGGGGAAUCUUGCGCAAUGGGCGAAAGCCUGACGCAGCGACGCCGCGUGGGGAUGACGGCCUCGG